ACCAAAGAGAGUCUUAAGGGAGAAAUUCUUGGUACCAUCUGGAGUCUAUUAAAGGUCUCACAACUUUAGGUCAAAAGCUGUAGUACUAAAAUAUCACUUGUCAACUCUAUGAUCAACUUUUAAUAAUUAUUACUGUCUGAUUCAUUCUACCCAUUGUUUUAAAAAUCUUUACUUGCAUAUAAUUAUAUACUUUAUGUGAGUGUAUAGAUUGUACUAUGGACCAACAAAUUUUAAUGUGAACACUGAAGCUUAUAAUUAUUUUUUUUUGCAAACAAACGACAAAAUACUUUUUAAAUGGCUUUAAAUGGCGUAAUAACAAUUAACAAGUUGAUUUCAUUGCAUCUACGUACUAGUCCUGCGGUGGCUGGUUGAGGCUCGAGCACGGGUACACUGUGUGCUUGUUCCAUAAUCCUCACACACAAUGUAAUUAUUACAUAUAUUAUAUGGUAUCAGCUCUUUGUAAGUCUGUGGAAUUAUAAAUACAGACAACCCACCUCAAUAGUGUACUUAAUAUUCGGUUCUGACAAUCGAAGAUGGGCCGGAGGUGUCGGUGCAGAUGAUGCCUGAUUUUUUGCUUGGUUAUUUAUAUCUGUGGAUGUAGCUGAAGUUCUGCAAUGUUUUUAUUAGCGCACAGGUAUGAACUCGUCUGCUUAAUUUGCAGGCCUCUUUUAGGAAGUGCGGCUUGAGAUUGAGGCUACACGUGUCUGUGCGCGCCAGAGAGACAGAAACGUUGGCAUGGCUACCCGAUCAAUCUCAUCGCUGUCCACAGAAACGUUGUGCGAGUACCUAGCAGGUGAAGGACAGCACACAGAUGUAAUCUUGUGUGUACAGGAAAACAGGAAAACAGACUAACUGGAGCUGAUUUCUUAGAGCUCACCAAAGAUCAACUGAAAGCACAAGAAUGGCAAUUCAGAGGCUGAUUGCACAGGCUGAUUGCUCCACCAGUACCAAUAAAUAAACUCAAGCUUCCGGAUCCCAGAUGCAUGAAAGUGAAAGUGAAGCAUGGGUUCACACCUUCAAGCUCCCUGAGGUGUUUCACUAACCGCAUAAUGAAAGCUCUCCGAAAGGGGUUGAUCACAAAGGCGGACAUCACAUCACAUCUAGACUCUAUGAGUUAUUAUUAUUGCGAACUAAAUUUUUGUUGUGUCCUAAAUUUGUUUUCUGAUAGGAGUGAUGCGUAUAUAGGAGUGAUACAUUUUAAAAUGGCAAAUGUACACUUCAGCUCAGUUCAAGUCAUUGUUCACAUGGUCUGCAUGAUUUUAGGGUAAGAAUAAGUUUAGGAAUGGCCGUCGCGGAGAUGUAAGCGAUACUGAGAAUGACAAAGAAAACCAGAGACCAGUGGUAGGGUGAAGAAGCCCAGAAUUGGAUCAAAAGUGAUAUGGGAGAAAAGCUGCAAGAAGAAAUAGAGCUAGAUAUCCCAAGAGUAUCAAAAGUGAAGAAGCAUGAUGGAUCUUGAAAGAUGUGAUCAAUGUUUUUCCACUUGGUCAAUCUUCACGGUUAAACAGGGAACUCAAGCUGAUUCUGAGUCUUCCGAAGGACCACUGUUUCAUUCCUGAAUGGCAGCAAUUUAGGGACAAAGUGUUCAAGCUGGCAGAAGCGGAGGCAGCAAGACCAUGUUUUAAAAAGCUCCUUGAUGGUUACACCUGUUAAAAACUCUCACCAAGUGUUUAAAUACUCUCAUGAAUACAAACAAUGGUAAGCCAGUGAAUCACUCUUUAGUGCACAACGUAUCAUGACUUGGUUUUUUGUACGCUCUUUGAGCAAUUCUUGGCUACAAUAAAGAUCUUUAUGAAUUUCUUGUUGAAUUUCUUGUAAGUGUGCCAUUAUGAAAUUGUGCUGACGAAAAUCUGGAAUCAAACAUCAACAACUUACCCCCUGCCCCUGCCCCGUCCAUUGUUGUGUCAAUCUCAGAUGGAGCCUAUCAGAUUGUUGUUUGUGCAGAAAGCAAAGUCAUUGUUGAAUCAGCGGAUAUGGAAACUGCUGUUUUUAACAUAGCCUACCCAAAAACCCUUAAUGCACUUAAUACACUUCUGAUUUUCUUUCAACAUCAUAUUUUUAAGAUUAGUGAUGACCAGCCUGAGCCAAAUUCUGUGGCAUGGACUUGAUAGAGUUGAUAGAGUUUAGAUUUAGCAAACAACUGUUCAACUUUUGCACCUCUAUAAUCACUCAUUUAUUCAAUCAGCAAACAACUGUUCAACUUUAGCAUGCACCUCAUUAUUUUAUUCAAUCAGCAAAGAACUGUUCAACUUCACCUCUAUAUUCAUUAUAAAGAUACAAUGAAAAAAUGUGGGCAGGCAGCACGCAUGCAGGGUAGGGCUUCAACCUCGCUACAUCUAUGUGUGUACUCCAGCUGUAACUGCUCAAUGUUUGCAAACUAACAACUCGUGGAUUUGCAAUAAAGCUUUAUUGUUAUCUACUUUUACGUACUUGCUGUUGCAAUCUCUCCUUCAGAAUCUUGUGUAGUAUCAUCUGAACAACUUUCUAUUCAACAGUGUUGCACCUAUUUGUAAGCUGCAACUUCAUGGUCAAGCGUAGCCUCGAAUUAAAAUACGUAUUUUAAUCGGCCUGGUCUCGAGGCUAGGUCAAGCGCAGCCAUUCGUGAACUUCAACCUCUUGCAGCACAAUUUCUGCGCAUGCACACUCAGUCCCACGUGUGUGAAACAAGAUCCUUUGAUACUCUUGGGAUAUCUAGCUCUAUUUCUUCUUGCAGCUUUUCUCCCAUAUCACUAUAGUACACAAAAUAUUGUUACAGUUGUCUUCGCCUGCAUAUCACAGAAGAAAUAUACACACACCUUUUGAUCCAAUUCUGGGCUUCUUCACCCUACCACUGGUCUCUGGUUUUCUUUGUCAUUCUCAGUAUCGCUUACAUCUCCGCGAU